AUGCAUAUGGUCCGAGACCACAAUUGUCGUCCCUUGAUUUUCGUUGUUCACGAAUAUAGUCCCUAGUGUUAACAGUGGGUUACUUGCCAAUAAUUUUUAUACCCCUUCCAAAUUUAUUUCUCCAUGUUUAAUGCCUCAAAUUGUAAGUAGGGGGGUGAAACUACACUGUAAAAAAAUUUGGGUCCAGAAUUUUACAGGAAAGUAGUGAUUUGGUCCAGCUGAAAAAGGUUAAAAAUUAGCACUUCGGAAGCUGUCAAAAGAUUUCAAGACACCCUAAACACAAAAUUGUCCAUAUUUUGAGUUAGAGGCGAUGAAGUUUUCUAUAAUUUUGAUAUAAUUUGUCCCAAAAGUAGUACAACACACUGUAAAAAUUUCAUUGAGAAAGCGCAGGUGGGAUUUUUUUUAUUUUCAUUUAUGUUCUAAAAGAAAUGCACUACGAAUUAAUUGUGUUCUCGGACCUAAGA
rnacentral:lncRNA from 1 species